AAAUUGAAGAGUUUGAUCAUGGCUCAGAUUGAACGCUGGCGGCAGGCCUAACACAUGCAAGUCGAACGGUAACAGAAAGCAGCUUGCUGCUUUGCUGACGAGUGGCGGACGGGUGAGUAAUGUCUGGGAAACUGCCUGAUGGAGGGGGAUAACUACUGGAAACGGUAGCUAAUACCGCAUAACGUCGCAAGACCAAAGAGGGGGACCUUCGGGCCUCUUGCCAUCGGAUGUGCCCAGAUGGGAUUAGCUAGUAGGUGGGGUAACGGCUCACC
rnacentral:rRNA from 2 species